ensembl:lncRNA
UUUUUUUUUUUUUUUUUUGGCUGCCCCAUAGCACAUGGAGUUCUCAGACCAGGGAUCAGUUCCAAGCCACAGUUGUGACUUAAGUUGUAGCUGUGGCAGUGCUGGAUUCUUAACCCACUGGCUGGGCUGGGAAUUGAAUCUGCAUCCCGGUGCUCCCAAGAUACUGUCGAUCCCACUGUGUCACAGAAGGAACUCCUGCCUUCUGGGAUAUUAAUACUAUCUGACUUUCUACACUUAGGUGCAUUUUCCACUUCAGUCUCAUCAUUGACCCUUCUUCCUAAGAAUGCCAAUUAAUUUCUCAGUAUCUUUCCUUGACUCUCAUUCCUGCUCUCUGUAGAUGAUUCCAUAAUUUAGGCUCUAAUCUGAUGAUUUAACCAUUUAUAUUACUAGAGAUUUCUCCUCUAAGUUUCAGAAUGAGUUUGUUUGAUAUCUGGAUAUCCAGAGUAUCACCACUUAAACUAACAUGUUAAGAAUCAAAUUUAUCUUGGCCUACCCUGAUAUUCCCUGGUACCUCUCCUCCCCAAUAACUGAAUAUGCUUCUUCUUAACUUUUUAAUUUCUAUAAAUGCCAUGCUAUUUAUAUACUUAUUCAAGCCACUUCUUUGGGAAUCAUCCUCCUCAUUUCUUUCUCUUGCUGCCUCCAUAUUCAAGAGUUAAGUGCAUUAUGUCAGUUUCCUACCCCCCGCAACCAAAGUUCUGUAAUUCAUCCAUUUCUCCUCAUGUUUAUUUUAAACUACUCAAGAACAGGCCAUCUUCUUUCUUACUUGGGCUUGUGGUAAGAUAUUUAUUACCUCUCCCUAGUCUUCCAGUUUUGCUACUCCACAGAAAAAUAAACUGAAGAAUAUCUCAGGGAUAUCCAAGAGAGUAUCUUCUCUUUAAAGUUUUUUAUGCAUACAACUCAGCCUGGGAUGUCUUUUCCCUUCUCCUCACCUAAAUAACUCCCAUUUACCAUUCAGUGCUUAUAUUACUAGUCAUCUAGGAGGCCUUGUCACACGCCCAAUGCUGGAUGUUUCUCCUUGGGCAUGUUCCUGUCACAACAGUUAUAAUGUCAUGUUUUGCCUGCAGAUAGCCUAACUAGACAGAAUGCUCUUUGAAUGCAUGCAUAUAUAUUCAGUGCAUGCAUAUAUAUAUGGGGGGUCUUGAACACAGUAGACACUUAGUAAAUAUUUGUUAUAUUUCAAAGAAGAGUAAUAUUCCAAGUUUCUAUGUUCUUGUAUCCAAAGCCAGUGAGAUGUUAUUUUGGUAAAUAAUAUCUCCCAUUUCAAAUAUUGUUAAAAACAUAAUAUAUUCUGUUUUAAUAUUGAUUGUAGUUUAGCACAGAUGUAUCUUGAAAGUAGUCAUGAAAACUACAUUAAAUGCUUUAUUUUGGAGUUCCCAUUAUGGCUCAGCAGAAAUGAAUCUGACUAGUAUCCAUGAGGACACAGGUUUGAUCCUUGGCCUUGCUCAGUGGGUUAAGGAUCUGGUAUUUCUGUGAGCUGCGGUAUAGUUCGCAGACGCAGAUCAGAUCUGGUGUUGCUAUGGCUGUGGCGUAGGCCAGUGGCUAUAGCCCCAAUUCAACUCCUAGCCUGGGAACCUCCAUAUGCCACAGGAGAGUCCCUAAAAAGACAAUAAAUAAAUAGAUGCUUUAUUUAAUAUUUGCUGUGGAGUUUAGUUAUAGUUUCUGUUCAAGGACUUGACCAGUGGCUGAUUAUCUAGAAACAAAAUGGUCUUUGUGUAUUUGAAAUUUUACCAGUGUAGCCAUUGUGCUGAUUUUAUAAACUAUACCAAAAAUAAUAAAGUUAUGUGCUUUACUAUGUAAUGGUCCUACAUAAUUGAAGGAAAUACUAGGAAUUUGAAUGCAAAACUGCUAUUAAUUUCUCUUUCUGACUAUUUUAGGAGUGUAUAUGACUUUAUUUUCAUGAAUACUGUAAUUGAUUUCAGGGAGUAAUUCUUCAACAUAGGGAAAUAUUUUAAAUAAUCUUUAGAUUAUUUCACAUGGAAAGACUAAUUGUUAACAUACAUUACUGUGGAUGGCAACUAUAUAUCAAAGUAUGGUAAGUAUGGACUUUGCAGUUCUUUUCCUUAGAUCCUAAAAUGAGUACAGUAAAUCAAGUGUUUGAAGGCAGCAUCAUAUGAAGAAUGCCAGAACAAAAUUAAGCAAAAUAUUUUGCUUAAUCUCUGUUAAAAUAUUUUCUUGAAAAUUAAUCUGUAAGACAUUUUAAUAGCUAUACUGGAUAUUAAUAUUAGGAAAAUAGGUUUUGAGACAAGAAAUAUUACCUGAAACAGACUCAUUUCUUAAUGGUAUGAGUGUCAACAUAUCAGGAAGAUAUAACAGUUAUCUAGACCAGAGGCUCACAGUACAUGAAGCAGAAAGUGAAAGAAUUGAAAGGGGGAAUAGACUAUUCAACAAUAUUAGAGAUUUUGAUACUGAUUCUCAGUAAUGGAAAGAACAACUAGAUAGAAAAUAAGCAGUGAUAUAGAAGGCUUGAGUAAUACUGUCAAACAACUUGACCUUUUUGACAUCUGUAGACUGAUUCUCUCCAACAACAGCAGAAUGCAUAUCUUAUCAAGCACACAUGAAAAUUCUCUAGACUAUAUGUUAUGCCAUAAAAUAAGCCUCAAUAAAUAGAAAAAAAUAUUGGGAAAAAAACCACCAUCAUCCAAGACAUAACAAUAAGAACCAAAAUAAAAAAAAAAA